GUUUCUCCUGGCUCUGUGUCCUGCCAUUCUCGUCUCUGUGCUCAGAGCUCUCAAGCACCCACGAUGGCCUUCUCAGGCCGAGCGCGCCCCUGCGUUAUCCCAGAGAACAAAGAAAUCCCCCGAGCAGCCCUUAACAGUGUCCACGAGGCCAAUGGGACCGAGGACGAGAGGGCUGUUUCCAGACUGCAGCGCAGGCACAGUGACGUGAAAGUCUACAAGGAGUUCUGUGACUUUUAUGCGAAAUUCAACAUGGCCAAUGCCCUGGCCAACACCACUUGCGAGCGCUGCAAGGGUGGCUUUGCGCCCGCUGAGAAGAUCGUGAACAGUAACGGGGAGCUGUACCCAUGAGCAGUGUUCUGUGUGCGCUCAGUGCUUCCAGCAGUUCCCAGAAGGACUCUUCUAUGAGAGGACCACUGGACCCGCUCUAAAGGAGAGUGUGUGCUGUACAUCACCCCCUCCACAACUUCCCAGCCUCGAGCCAGGAGCGUCCAUGCAUUUAUUUUCUAAGGAAAAAAAAAAAGUAUUUUAGGGAACUAUACUGUCUACAUUUAGCUCUUCUGGCUGC
rnacentral:sRNA from 1 species